rnacentral:rRNA from 1 species
GCGAGCCAGGCCUAGGAUUGCCCGCCUUCGGGUGGUCUUUUCUAGGUCUGGAUACGGAUAACCUUGGUAAUUCUUAGGCUAAUACGAUAAGUUUACCACCUAGCCUACCGGGCAACCGGGAACGUUAGGGGUCGUGCAAAGCUUCUGCUACGCUCGAUUGGGUGAUUCCGUACACGAUCAGACCGCUACACCAAACUCAGGUGGCUCAGCCAGUACCUUCGGGGAACGCUGUGUCAUUUGGGGGCGGCUCUCGCUCGUGCCUCUGACCUAUCAACUGCACAGCAGCUUAUAGGACAUGCUAUGGUUACUACGGGUACAGAGGAUAAGGGUUCGAUCCUGGAGAGUGGGCCUGAGAGAUU